GAAGAUGAGUUGUUUAUCAUUCACUAUGAAGAUGAGUCAUGACUCCUCUUUUCUUCCCUCAAACUCGAUUGCACUUGAAGUUGUUGAUGAUGAUGAAGUGGUCAACCGUCCACUGGAAUCUGGUGAGCACCCAAUCUGAGUCGGUUUUGAUCCCAAUGAGUGAUUGGAAAUCGAAAAUGUUGAAGGAGGCGAUAAUUCUUACCUUGAAGGAGUAUAAUUUCUCUCCGAGUUAGGGCAUAGAGACUAAUCCUGAUGAAAUCCCCCAAUCAUAAGGAUCAUAAGCUAUUGAAGAUUUGAAGUCGUACUGGCGAGGUUACAAAUGCUUCAAAAUUGUACUCAUCUCCCAGAGGAUGAAACAACAAGCUUUCUUUAUACACAUUUGAGGAGAAGGUUAAGAUUAACCAAAGCAAUGGACAGAGGUACUGUUUAGGUUAACUUCUAGAUUGCAUCUAAGCUUCUUUUAAAUCUAUUAUUUUCCAUGUUUGUUAUUAUUAGCUUGAAUGAAUGUGGUACUUGAUGGGAAUCUGUGAUUAAGCUCGUGAAGCAAAUCCAACUUUGAAAAUAUGUUCCUUUGAGUGUUACAGUAGGACAGUAGGUAUCUGGUCUAUCUUGGCCUUUGUUCGUAUUAUCUUUGUGUAUAUUCGAUCCAUUUCCUUUCU